rnacentral:misc_RNA from 1 species
AACCUAGCACACCUGCGGUGUGUACCUGCGGAGGGAUCAUUACCGAGUUUACAACUCCCAAACCCCUGUGAACAUACCACUUGUUGCCUCGGCGGAUCAGCCCGCUCCCGGUAAAACGGGACGGCCCGCCAGAGGACCCCUAAACUCUGUUUCUAUAUGUAACUUCUGAGUAAAACCAUAAAUAAAUCAAAACUUUCAGCAAUGGAUCU